UGAGUAAUGCAUAGGAAUCUGCCCGUAGAGUGGAGGGAUAACCGUGGGGAAACCCAGGCUAAUACCGCAUACGUCCUACGGAAGAAAGGGGGCUUCGGCUCCCGCUAUUGGAUGAGCCUAUGUCGGAUUAGCUAGUUGGUAAGGUAAUGGCUUACCAAGGCAACGAUCCGUAGCUGGUCUGAGAGGAUGAUCAGCCACAUCGGGACUGAGACACGGCCCGAACUCCUACGGGAGGCAGCAGUGGGGAAUAUUGGACAAUGGGGGCAACCCUGAUCCAGCCAUGCCGCGUGUGUGAAGAAGGCCCUCGGGUUGUAAAGCACUUUCAGCGAGGAAGAACGCCUAUCGGUUAAUACCCGGUAGGAAAGACAUCACUCGCAGAAGAAGCACCGGCUAACUCCGUGCCAGCAGCCGCGGUAAUACGGAGGGUGCAAGCGUUAAUCGGAAUUACUGGGCGUAAAGCGCGCGUAGGUGGCUUGAUAAGCCGGUUGUGAAAGCCCCGGGCUCAACCUGGGAACGGCAUCCGGAACUGUCAGGCUAGAGUGCAGGAGAGGAAGGUAGAAUUCCCGGUGUAGCGGUGAAAUGCGUAGAGAUCGGGAGGAAUACCAGUGGCGAAGGCGGCCUUCUGGACUGACACUGACACUGAUGUGCGAAAGCGUGGGUAGCAAACAAGAUUAGAUACCCUGGUAGUCCACGCCGUAAACGAUGUCGACCAGCCGUUGGGUGCCUAGAGCACUUUGUGGCGAAGUUAACGCGAUAAGUCGACCGCCUGGGGAGUACGGCCGCCAGGUUAAAACUCAAAUGAAUU
rnacentral:rRNA from 1 species